rnacentral:misc_RNA from 1 species
AAGUCGUAACAAGGUUUCCGUAGGUGAACCUGCGGAAGGAUCAUUACCGUGAGUCGUGGGAGACACUUUGGACCAGCACCCACGCCGCCCUGCCCGCGGGCGUGCGCGUUCAGGCGGCCAUUGGCGUCUCCCACCACCCAAAUACCCCCCAUCCCUGCCUAAAACGCACUCUUUGUUUCCUCGGCGGGCCCGCCCGCCGCAGGACCCCUUCUGGAAACGCUUUUGCAAACCACGCAGUCGUUCGUCUGAGCGGAGUUUAUACACGCAAUCAAAUUAAAACUUUCAACAACGGAUCUCUUGGUUCUG